CUCCGGCUUCCCGCGCUCCGCUCGGACGGUCGGACCUCUGCGCGCCAAAUCCUCCCCGCACGCGCCAAAGCCACCUCUUCUUCCCUUCCUCCAAGAUCCGCCGCCGCCUUUGCGGCUCUCAGACCGCCGCCGCCCUUCCCCUUCCCUCCAGAUCCGCCGGCGCCCCUGCCCGCCGCCGCUCCUACCCUUCACCUCCAGAUCCGCUACCGCCCCUGCCCUUCCUCCCACUGCCUGCGACACCAUGUCCCGGCGGGGGAAAGAAGUCCCCCAGCUCAGCAGUAGCGGCAGCCCGUCCAAACGAAGCAGCGGCGGUACGAGAACUCCGGCGACUGCAGCUCCGUAGGCGACUGCUCCUCCCGCGUCUGGUGCAGCUCCUCCCGCAUCGGCUGCACCUCCGCCGGCAGCAGCUUUUUGCUCCUGUACAAAAUUGGUACUAGAAGAUGCUGUUACUCCAAUGUUUUACUUGCAUUACUGUUUCUGCCACUAAAGAUUAUUCUCUGUAUGGUUCUCUGUAUGCUUUGGUGGUUUAGAUUUUGGUCGGCUAUGUUUUGAUAUCUGAAAAAGGAACAUGUAAUGUGCGAAUUACUUCAACGGUUUAUCAGAGCUUGUCAAAAUGAUAAUUUCAAACAUGGCUUGUUUAGAUAUUU